CAGCCGUAAACUAUGCUCGCUAGGUGUCAGGCAUGGCGCGACCGUGUCUGGUGCCGCAGGGAAGCCGUGAAGCGAGCCACCUGGGAAGUACGGCCGCAAGGCUGAAACUUAAAGGAAUUGGCGGGGGAGCACCACAACAGGUGGAGCCUGCGGUUUAAUUGGACUCAACGCCGGGAAGCUCACCGGAUAGGGACAGCAGAAUGAUUGCCGGGCUGAAGACCCUGCAUGACUAGCUGAGAGGAGGUGCAUGGCGUAGGUCU
rnacentral:rRNA from 1 species